CGGGCUAGAAGCGACGCA
rnacentral:sRNA from 1 species